rnacentral:tRNA from 2 species
CUGGACGUGGUGGAGUACUGGAGCCCUUGUAGAUACUAGCUCGGUGGAUUCUUUUUGGGUAUUUAGCGAUCCGCUGAAAUUCGCCAAUAACUAGCAUGGGGUGCUAGGGGUCGAGUGUUCGAAUCACUCCGUCCCGACCA